GUGCUCACUUGGGCAACACAUAUGCUAAAACUGGAGCAAUAUAGAGACGAGCAUGGCCCUCUGAGCAAGGAUGACACAGAAAUUUGUGAUACAUUCUCUAUGUUU